ACUCGUAGACUCCUACGGGAGGCAGCAGUGGGAUGGAAUUCUCAGAUGGGCGCAAGCCUGAUGCAGCCAUGCCGCGUGUGUGAAGAAGGCCUUCGGGUUGUAAAGCACUUUCAGUCGUGAGGAAGGUAGUGUAGUUAAUAGCUGCAUUAUUUGACGUUAGCGACAGAAGAAGCACCGGCUAACUCCGUGCCAGCAGCCGCGGUAAUACGGAGGGUGCGAGCGUUAAUCGGAAUUACUGGGCGUAAAGCGCAUGCAGGUGGUUUGUUAAGUCAGAUGUGAAAGCCCGGGGCUCAACCUCGGAACUGCAUUUGAAACUGGCAGACUAGAGUACUGUAGAGGGGGGUAGAAUUUCAGGUGUAGCGGUGAAAUGCGUAGAGAUCUGAAGGAAUACCGGUGGCGAAGGCGGCCCCCUGGACAGAUACUGACACUCAGAUGCGAAAGCGUGGGGAGCAAACAGGAUUAGAUACCCUGGUAG
rnacentral:rRNA from 1 species